rnacentral:lncRNA from 1 species
UCCACCGGCCCCUCGGGCAAACAAGGGCGCUUUUUGAUUCGGUGACAGCUUCUCGCCGGCGCAACACCAACUGCCGAGAAUCAGCCAGAGGAUCUACGGACACCAAGCGCUUAACAGACAGACGAUAAAAGCGAUCGAGUGUUCCUUUCGACGCGGGAAGAAGACGCUGUUCUCGCCUGAGGUGAUUACGACGCUCCGUGACCUCACGACCGAUGCUAGUACGCAUACGGUAAAAGCAUAAUAAUCUCUUCCCGCGUGUGUUACACCGGCAUACGUAACUGAAUCGAAAGGACACUUUCUAUUCGAUUGACCCUUCGAACUGGCCAUUCUUCGAUCGAUCGAAAUAACAUCUCCCGAUGCGAUGCCUUCUACAACCCCCAUUCGCCCGAGGCUCGAAAAGAUCAAGUUAUUACGGCACAGAAACGUACCAGUGAUCGAAACACAGUUCUUCGAGAGGUCAUCGUCGCUAAAGAUCAGUCACACCGACAGCACUUGAAAUGGCAUCCCUCGAGGCACACGCACGCGACUGUUCGGAUUCGCGACGGUUGUAUCGAUGGAUUUCAGAAGCCGCUAACAUCUGUGCUCGUUCAGCUCUGCCAGCUUUUAUAUACCGUCAGCGUACUCGACUAUGACUACAAGGACGAUACUUUUUUCCCCCUCUGAGGAUCGACGAUUCUCUAAGUAUGGGAUGAUCUUCGGCGUUCACUAUCCGGACGCUGUGUCUCCGAACUGGAAACAGAGUUCUCUGCUCUGACUGUUCUUGUUUAUUGAUACGUUCUUUGGUUUAUGAGAUAGACUAUUUUUUAAUAGGGUCGCUACCAACAGUAUGUCGAUAGCAUUCUGCUUUGCGUACUUGUAAAUAAAAUGUUCUAUUUAAUGUAUCAUGAUCGUUAUCGUUAAACACAUCACUAAUAAGUGGCGUGCUGAUAAAAAUAGAUUUCUACCGUUUUCCGGAACCUAAGGUUUUAUCAUAAAAAAUUGUCUGGAAUUUGAAGUAUUGCUCUUUGCAUCAGCGUCCUUGGAUCACGCAGUAACAAGAUUGCAAAUCUGACAUACGAGACAGCUAAGCACUCGUGGAAUUAGAAGGAUCAAACAAUUUUAUUUACGAAGUUGAAAAGUGUCCAGGUGCUAGGCGCUGCAAAUUAAGAUCGUUAUGGUUGUAUAGACGUGUCCAACCAUCGUGUUAAAUUGGCAAAGAUAUUUAUUAUCAGAUCUGUACGCAUCUUGACACUAGUGUUAUUAUUCUCUGUAUACAAGACAGAAGUCCCACGGAAGAAAGUAACGACGUUUCAUCCGCAACGGCAGAAUAGUUUUAUCUCUCCUUAGGUUGCUCGUGCGCCCGUCAUGUACACCCGUUCACAAUUAUUUUUCUUCCAGGUGCGCGGAGACGGCUGGAUUUAUCGCCAUCCGAUUGCCACGCGAUCCAAAGGCCAACGUCGUUACGAUGGAUGAGAUUUAGCUCCUUUAAGGGCACACGGGCAAACAAUGCGAUCUCUGCACCGCUAAUAGGAUGCGUUUGCUCUUUCGUAGGUAGAACAGAGUCACGCUGACAUUUUACCCUUUUAUUCCGUGCUUUCCUACCAAACCCAUUGCAUUCCGUGCCCGGUAGCUGAUCAAGCGAUCCUUUCCGAUCCGUUCUCGAGUGAUCGCGAUCAUUGAUCGGAGCACGGUUCAAAGAUCAAACGCCAUUCGAUUCUUCGCCGAAGUAGUUAAAGGGUCGUUGUCCUACUCUAUUGUUAGCAAGUACACAGCUUGUUAACCAACUUAUGUUAAAGUAGAUAAGAGCAUUAUGAAUAAAAUAGUCAUUGAAACUUUGGGUUUGACGAUGUAUUUCAGCAAAGGUAGUUGGAUUAAUUAGGACAGGUGCAAGUUAGAGCUCAUUCAUCGAGCCACCCUUCUGAUUUUCCGCUUAAAAUUAAAAACUUAUAAAGAAGACGGGUCGAAAAUUUGACUGGUAGGAAUUUGGACCGAUUUACCAUUUAGAGCAUUAGGAUGUUUGCGCACUGAACGUUUAUAAGAUUCAACGGUUUCAUAAUCGAUUACAUAGAAGAGAGAAAGGACGUGGUCGUUUAGAAGGAAGAUACAUCCACGGUGUCGCGUAAUCCACGUGUUAUCGUGCAGCAUUCGAUAUGCGCGCGCAUUUUCCACGACGGAUUUAUCUGUCGUGAUUUACAUCUCUGACUUUUCGAAACGUUGUUUUAUACUUGUCCCCGGCUCUGCCUCGGCGAGUAAUGAAUAAGAAGUAACAAAAGAAUUAUGCCGCAACUUCGUAGAUUUUUCACGAAUAAAAUUCAAGUCUUUUGGCUGUUGGUUCAGUGAUUUAUAGUGUUAACGAACCGACACGUUAGUGGGAUAUUAACGCCUUAAUGGCCGAUGACGCCAUAAUGGCGUCACUUCAAAUGCAUUGGUCACACGCGGAGGAAGAUUUAUUCUAUUCUUUAAAUUGAUUAUUUUAUACUGAACAUUUCAAUGUUGUCUUCGAUGCAAUUUGCAGUUUGUAGAUGUAAUGCCUUGUAAAUUAUUCUUGAUCAUAAACAACGGCAGUGAAUGAUGAAGAAAUGCAUCACUGUCAGGAGCGAAGAAAGUCAAUCGUUUUCGGAAGAUGAACGCGCCGAUCACCUGUCCGAUAUUCUGAUCGUCUUCGAGUAUAGUGAAAGUGAUGUCAGCGACUGUGAGGCAGAAGACUCUUUUGCACACGUGCGGAAUGAUCUUGUCGAGUGUUCAAAAGUUUCUUUCGGUCAAGUAGUAAGAGUCUUAGUCAGAAGCAACAUUUAAAAUUUAAAAUGGUCAGAUCCUCCGAGGAAAAAUGAAACUUUCGAAAGUUGAUUGGGAUCGAAUAUAUUUUUUGCUAAAGUCACUUAAAGAUUUUAAUCAUUGAAGAAAGUGCGAUACGUGAAUCAUUUUUAUUUUCUCAAUUCGAACGAGUCAAGAGUGGGAGGAAAUAAUUUCAACUGGGUUUAUAGAGUCUGAUUCAGUGAGAAUAUUUCAUAAAUCAUGAUUCUGAUCGCGCGAAAAGAUUAAUCUGUUUCGUAACAGCACGUGCGAAAAUUGAUAUCUUAUAUCAAGAGGGGAUUAGAGUAUAAGGAAGCCUUAACGAUGAUGAUGGGCCACGCUAACGACUCCUGAAAUCGUUGAUCGAAAAUUCGUUGCAAGAUUGUAGAAUUUUUUUUAAGCGAACACAGAAUUCUUUAGAGUGGAACUUUUCAUUGAACGCGGAAUGUUUUAUUACGGAAUUAUUUUUCAUUAGAUUUCCUAGCGUCUGUUUAAACGAGGUACCAUUUUAUUAUUUAAAAAAAAAGAACGAGGGAUGGAAUUUUCAAAAGGAUCAUAUUUUGUUUUCUCUGCUCUCUACGCACAGUAUACAUGUGGGUGUUUUACGUGCAUAUACGCGAGCGUGUAAACCUGUAACAUACACCUGCAAGAGAACAUUUCGUUGCACGAAAGUAGUUCCUUUCUCCCAGAUUCACUCUCCUUGCCGUGUCAUCUCCUUCCACUUGCUCCGAAAUUGCGAGGACGCGAGUAAAUUAUUCAGGAUCUUCUAUUACUUACAACUUUAUAGUACACUCUGUACCGUACAUACAUUGCAACUGCGUACAAUGAAAGAAAAUAAAGGUUUGCCUCCUCCUUCUCUUUCUCUCCCCUUUUCAAUCUCACACUCGCUCUCGCUCUUUUAACAAUUCAAACGCAUCCGUCACCCCAACUAUUAUCCAGCAUAAUUUCAUAAAUAUCUGUGUUUCUUGCCCCGGCGAUCUAGGAAAAUACGCGGAUAUGUGUAUUAAAAAAUAAUACAGGCACUCGCGCAGGCAAACGCUCAGUCGCUCAUGCAUUUACAACAAACUCGCGAUAUUCCUCUUUCCCUCCAGUCUUCGCUCACACCCAAUCCCAGAUUUUGAAUUUCACUGCAGCGAAGAAAGGAGACAAAUACGAUACUCGAAACUUUCUUACAAUAGUUAAUUACGAGCGGAACCGAUCAACGGUUUCGCUUAUCGACGAACAUCAACAAUGACUGCAAAUAUACGUCAUAAAUCACUUUAUCGUGAACAGGCGCGUUUAGUCGCAUUUAUUUAAACGUACGUCUUACAUUUCGACGUAUAUGAUACACGGUUAAAUAGAAUAAAAAUCGAUCAAGCUGCGAAAAGGACGUAUUGAAAUAAAAAACGCGUUCGACAGAGAAGCAAUAAACAAUAAUUGUCGUACGUGCAAACGCGAUCACUGGUAGACUGCGGAUGUCUAUGGAAAUAUGUAGCUCCAUAUUUUUUAACACGUUCCAUGUCUUUUCUACCGUCACACUAAAGUCCAAAAUGACGUUAUUAAUAAUUAUACAGAAUCUGAAAAUCUGAUUUGAUUUCUUUUCCGAAUUACAUAACGGGUACAUAAAUAAGCAUAAGCAAGGGUUUCUUUUUACGUUAACUUCGUUACAAAAGAAUUUGAUCAUUUUAUUUCUCCAAUUUUGCACAUUUUCUUCCCUUAUACGUACGCGUACUUUGAAUAUAUUUUUGUAUAGAUUUCUCGAUACAUCAUAAAUACAUAAACAUCCGUAAGUCUAGUAAUCAAAUUAAAAAUAUAUCCUUAAAAAUUCAUCGUUCGUGCGCCAACAUUUACAAGCACUGUUCUUCUUCUCCUCGACGGGUUUGUUUGUGCCAUUGCAGCAAUCGAGAAGUCGUUUUCACGUAGAGCGCAGAGAAAAAGCGUCUCUUGAUUCAUUUUUUUUCUUCACGUUUGAACAGCUCGGAUCGCCGUUAAUCACACGCGUACAAUUCAAAAAAUAUCACGAUAUUUACACAAUCUCGUACGACGAUCCUGAAUAGUUACCCACGCGGUUGGACUGUCGAGCGCCAGCUCGCCUAAUUUACACGUCAUCGUUAUCUUCUUCUUCUUUUGCGUUCAUUUCGAUGCGAGGUGUAGAAAAUAACAAGCGACGAAAGAGAAAAAGAGAUCUGUGUGCCACGAUAAAAAGCGAUCGAACGGACAAUAAUUAGUACUCUGGUUUGUCGAAAAAAUACGGAAACUCGAGGUUUCUGUUUUCUAUAGAGUCCCGCGUCGUACGAUUCGCGCGUACUCUCCCCUCUUUCUUCUUUUUAACGUUAAAAAAUUUCGUAAAAGUUGCCUAUAGAGAUUUGAGUUUUAGUAAAAACGAGAGUCUAUGAAUCUAUCGGUAUUAUAUAGAGAUCGAUGUCCAACGAAGUUUAGUAGCAUUCCCUCCUUCCCAUUUGCCCCGUUAUCUUUUGAUAAACAUUUGAACGUAACUCUUCUAUGCAACUCGCUGCGGACUUUCACGCUCGCGUUAUCGGUCAUUCUUGAAAUCACGGUAAUUUUGACAGUAAUUAACCACAAUAGUAAAAGCAUUAUAAGCUAUACAACUACCAUUUCUGUAUCUACAAUAUAGAGUUUUAUGUAUAUUUAUGUAUAUAUAUAUAUUUUUGUUUCUUAUUCUCUCCUUUUUAUAUAGUCUGUGUUUACUUUAUAGACACUCCUUCACUGUCUCUGAAAGGCUAUCAAGAGGCUCGGUGCUUUGUUUUUUACGCAUGAUCAGGUAUCCUCCUUCACCGCUGCGUCGAUUCUUGCUCGAGACGAUUCGUCCCAGUAAUUUGUAGAAAUUACUUCGCUUCGGUAUUCUUCUCUCGCAAAGUCGCGUAUCCGAAACAGAAAACG